rnacentral:rRNA from 1 species
UCCGUAGGUGGAUAAAUAAGUCAGAGGUGAAAUCCUGCAGCUCAACUGUAGAACUGCCUUUGAUACUGUUUAUCUUGAGUCAUUAUGAAGUGGUUAGAAUGUGUAGUGUAGCGGUGAAAUGCAUAGAUAUUACACAGAAUACCGAUUGCGAAGGCAGAUCACUAAUAAUGUACUGACACUGAGGGACGAAAGCGUGGGGAGCGAACAGGAUUAGAUACCCUGGUAGUCC